AGUGAACGCUGGCGGUAGGCCUAACACAUGCAAGUCGAACGGCGGCACAGUAAGAGCUUGCCCUUACGGGUGGCGAGUGGCGGACGGGUGAGGAAUACAUCGGAAUCUACUUUUUCGUGGGGGAUAACGUAGGGAAACUUACGCUAAUACCGCAUACGACCUACGGGUGAAAGCAGGGGAUCUUCGGACCUUGCGCGAUUGAAUGAGCCGAUGUCGGAUUAGCUAGUUGGCGGGGUAAAGGCCCACCAAGGCGACGAUCCGUAGCUGGUCUGAGAGGAUGAUCAGCCACACUGGAACUGAGACACGGUCCAGACUCCUACGGGAGGCAGCAGUGGGGAAUAUUGGACAAUGGGCGCAAGCCUGAUCCAGCCAUACCGCGUGGGUGAAGAAGGCCUUCGGGUUGUAAAGCCCUUUUGUUGGGAAAGAAAAGCAGCAGGUUAAUACCCCGCUGUUCUGACGGUACCCAAAGAAUAAGCACCGGCUAACUUCGUG
rnacentral:rRNA from 1 species